CUCAGCCGCAGACAUUAGUGCUAGGAAGAUGGCGCACCCGGCGAUGUUUCCUAGAAGGGGCAGCAGCAGUAGCAGCGGCAGCAGCUGCGUUACUGCUCCCACUGCACCAGGUACCGGCGUUGGGAGCGCUGCCCUCUCCGCUGAGGAUUAUCAGCCGCCUUUGCUGGUCCAGCCGCCGCCUCCAUCUCCUGCAGCAGCUUCAACAGCGGGUCCACAGCCGACACCCCCUCAUCCACAAAGCUUGAACCUCCUCUCACAGUCUCAGCUCCAGCCACAGCCCCUUGCACAGACUGGAGCUCAAAUGAAAAAGAAAAGUGGCUUUCAGAUUACCAGUGUGACCCCUGCUCAAAUAUCAGCUAGUAUGAGCUCUAAUAACAGCAUAGCUGAGGAUACAGAAAGCUAUGAUGACCUGGAUGAGUCUCACACUGAAGACCUGUCAUCUUCAGAAAUCUUGGAUGUGUCUUUAUCCAGAGCCACUGAUAUGGGAGAACCUGAGAGGAGUUCUUCUGAAGAGACUCUAAAUAACUUCCAAGAGGCAGAGACUCCUGGGGCUGUUUCUCCAAACCAGCCUCAUCUUCCUCAGCAGCAUGCUCCUCUGCCUCAUCACCCACAGCAGAGUGUUGUGAUCAAUGGAAGUGUUCAUCCCCAUCAUGUUCAUCAUCACCACCAUCUUCACCACCACCAUCAUGGACACCAUCAUCCAUCCCAUCCUGGGGUGGGUAAUGCCCCACUUUCUGGAGGACCACCGCCCAGUCCAUCGUUUAGAAAACUCUCAACAACUGGAAGCUCUGACAAUGUUAUAUCAACUGCACCAGUUUCUGCUGCAUCAUCCACUGGUUCCCCAGCAUCUGCCGUGUCUAAUAUCCGCACUACAAGUAGUCCUGGCAAUUUAGGUAUAAGUCCUGCUGCUGGAACUAGUACCUUAAGUAAUAUUGGUGCUGGUAGUUCUAGUGUGGCAAGCAAUGUGCUUGGUACUAUAAAUUUAAGCAACAUCAUGAGUACUGGUAAUGUAAAUGCUUUGUCUGGAACUAGCAGCAAUGCUAAUGUGAAUAUCUUGAGUGGUGUUGGCAAUGGUACGAGUGCUUCCUCUAGUGUCAUUAACAAUGUUACUAAUCCAACUGCAGGAAUGGCAGUGGGAUCAAGCCAGCAGCAGCCUGCAUCUGGCACGUCAAGGUUUAGGGUUGUAAAAUUAGAUUCUAGUUCUGAACCUUUCAAAAAAGGUAGAUGGACUUGCACUGAAUUCUAUGAUAAAGAAAACACUGUUGCAGUUUCGGAGGGAGUAGCAGUAAACAAAGCAGUAGAGACGAUAAAACAAAACCCGCUUGAAGUGACUUCUGAAAGGGAGAGCACCAGUGGGAGUUCUGUUAGCAGCAAUGUAAGCACACUGAGUCACUAUACAGAAAGUGUGGGAAGUGGAGAAAUGGGAGCACCUACUGUGGUACAGCAGCAAGCAUUUCAAGGUGUGGGUCCGCAGCAGAUGGAUUUUAGCAGUGCUGCUCCUCCAGCAAUUCCAGCAUCUAGUAUACCACAGAGUGUUUCUCAAUCACAGCUUGCACAAGUCCAGCUGCAUUCUCAAGAAGUAAACUAUCCACAGCAGAAGCCAGGGGUCCAACCUCCUGCACAGGCCAGUCUAACCACUGUUACUGGGGUUCAGCCAGCCCCAGUUAAUAUACUAGGUGUAUCCCCAUCUCUGGGCCACCAGCAACCUGCCCUUCAGAGUAUGGCUCAACAGCAGCUGCCGUAUUCGCAGCCGGCGCAGCCUGUGCAGACUUUGCCAGUGGUGCAGCAGCAGUUGCAGUACGGACAGCAGCAGCAACAGCAGCCAGUUCCUACGCAGAUGGCCGCGGGUCACGUUAAGGCGGUGAACCAAAACUCUGUCACAGGAGCUAUGCCAGACUACAUUCAACAUCAGCAGAUCCUUCAGACUCCAGCCCCUGCCAUGCAGCCAAGUUCUACAGGAGUAGGAGCUGGGCAACCGGUUCCUGUUGCCCAGGCACAGGGCAUGCAGCCUUCAGUGCAAGCACAUCCAGCUGCUGCCCCAGCUCAGCCUGUUGCACAUGCUCCAGCAGCAAUACCAGGUGUAGCUGCCAGUGGUCAAAUGCUAAAUGUUGGGCAGCAAGGAAGUGUAGCUGCUGUGGUGCAACCACCAUCUGCUGCAAACCAAAUUCCACCUCCAGUUAUGCCAUCAACGGCUGCUCCUCCAUCUUCCCAAGUAGUGCAGCCUGUGCAGACAGGAAUAAUGCAGCAAGGAUUACAGGCUAGCGCUGCAGGCCUUCCUCAGCAAAUGGUCAUUGCUCAGCAAAACACCUUGUUACCACAGGCACAAGGAGUGGAAUCUGUAGUCCAAGGGAUGACUGGCCAGCAGCUGCCUGCGGUAAGCCCUAUACCCUCUGCUAGUACUGUUCCUGCUCCAAGUCAAGCUGGUUCAGCUGUGCCUCCUGGCAUACCUUCUGCUUCUGUAGGUUUGGGACAGCCACAGAAUAUAGCACAGGCUUCGGCUGUGCAGAAUGGCAGCUUGGCUCAAAGUGUUAGUCAGCCUCCCUUGAUAUCAACAAGUAUAGGUAUGCCAGUGGCACAGAGUGUGCCACAGCAGAUGCCAUUAAGUUCUACCCAGUUCCCUGCACAAUCACUAGCUCAGUCCAUUGUAAGCCAAAUCGAAGAUGGCAGACGCCCUACAGAACCUUCCUUGGCGGGUUUACCUCAAGCUGCCAGCGUUGAGAGUGGUGGUGGAGCAUCGGCCGCUUCAGAUGGCGGUAGCAGCAGCAUGCCGUCCUCGGCGUCCCUCUUCCCGCUGAAGGUGCUGCCCUUGACAACGCCUCUUGUAGAUGGUGAGGAUGAGAGAUACAGAAUGACAGUCAAACAUUACACACUGGUAUGCCUGUGAAGAGGCACUGCCAAAGUAAAAUGUGUCUAGUGCAAAAGCUUGGAGUUCUGGCUGAUCAAAGCAGAUGGUAUCCUGUACAAUUUACUCAUAAUUGUUUAAACUUUCGAUUUCUUGGCUAUUGAGCUCACUGAUGCAGAAAAAUGGAGACCACUCCUCAGUGACUCAUGAAUUGGCUGUGGAAUGUGCCCUAUAGAGAAGGAAGAAAGCAAUAAAGGGAGUUUCCCUCCAGUCUUUCUGCCUCCCUACCCUGGAAGUAUGGAGUCCCUGCCUCAGCCUACGGCUUCAUUCUUUUUCCAGCUGCCCACAAAAGUAAAGAACCAGUGUGAGAGUUUGAAGAAAGAAUCCGCUCAGAGGACUGAGUCUCAAGCAAAAGCUCCAGGUUGCAGACUCAGAAAGAAACUUCCUUUGGGGAAGGAUCUGCUUCCAGGAUUUGCUCGUCUCUUUUUCCUUGGGCAAACAGUUCUUGAAGCAAACAACAGGGUUGCAGGACACCUUCUAACCUUUAUACUGCAUCACAAGCCUUCAGCAGAAGAUCUUAUGUUGCUGGAAGAUGACUGGGUUUGGAUCUUGGCCUUCCCUAAGCAGGAUCUCCUGGCAAAAAAAUGGGAUUGGGAAAGAAAUGGCACCUUUUUCCAUCACACAGAACCACCCUAGAAAUGGAGGCCUAGGCAGAAAAUUACUUGUAAUGCAUUGUUCUUUAGGAAAUGUGUUUGGCCUCCCAUGGUCCUUUUGUUACAAUGUCAUACAGAUAUCCUUUAUAAAAUCUAAACCUGGCAUCUUCCUAUCUGAAGAUCAAGUCAAUAAAUCCAAGAUUAAGAGUUUACAGGUCUAAUAAUGUGGUCGGGUCUUGCUGUUCCUUGCAUAGGAGAUGCCACGUGAAUCUGUGAAACAGGGUUCUGCUGUGGUUCCGACUGUUAUAUUUGUAAAGCCUUUUCUACUUAUAUUAAAAUUAUUAGAAAUAAUAAAGGUUCUUGUGAAAAUGGUAUUUAGACUUCUACCUUGAGGGGUUUACUUAAAAAAUAAAUUUGAGCCAAAAUGUCGCAAUGGGCAAUUGGGAAGUAGUGUAUAUUUUGAGGUUUCCUGUGGCUUUGUGUCACAAAAAAAGUGUGUUGGAACUGCUGAGAGCUAUAAAAGUGGAAAUCUUAGAUUAUUCUUUAAGAGUGAGAAGUUGUUUGUUAGAAAGCAGAAAGCUUUUAAUUUUUCCCCCUAAGGGAUUCUGUAGUCAAACUUAAUUAAAUGUCUUCUAAGAUCUCAAAUAAAACCCUUCUGUUUGGCAGUAGCAAACAGCACACACAGGCCUGUGCACUUGUGUUGUCACUAUAGGAAAUUAGUUUCAAAGAAUGGGGCUUAGUUCUAAUGUUCAGAUUAGGAAAGGAGAAAGUUUUGUUCUGAAGCUGAGUGUGAGAAUAGGAGGCAGGAGGGUGUACCAGACCCUCUGGCCUUAGGUGAAGAGCCCUUUCGUUUUUUCUGUUUGCUGCUUCUGGCAGUUGAAGUAAACUAGCCAGAUGCUUAUACUUGAAUCCAAUUAAUUUCUUAAAUCAGUUGCCACAAAACAUUGUUUUUUAACUAAUGCCUAGAUCUUUUGUCAAAUUCACCAGCUUAUUUAAAUUAUUCAAUAGUCUUAACAUAGCCCUGAGGCUACUGCUUCAUGGCAGUUGUCACUUCUUAGUAUUCUGGAAUGCACUGCAGUCCUAGUACAGUCUAAAAAUAAUUGUUCAGAUGGUGGUGUUUAAGUACAUACUUAUGUAGUGAGCCAUUUUCACUGGACUUUCUGAAAUUGGCUUUCUGUUGGAUGGCUUUUUAAUAUCUUAUUUUGCUGUGAUUAUCAAACUUUGUCUUGGUGCUUCUGUGGUUAUUGAGUAAAGUGCUGAAUUUAUAACCUGGUAUUUUUAGAGAACUGAUAGUCACAUGCCUGUGUUAAACUAUGCAAGCACAGUAACACUUGUUAACUUUGAAGUUUAAAAUUAAAUCAGUUUAAUGUAUCAAAUUCCAUCCUAUUAUAAUAUGUGGAAAUAUGUAUGUGAUGAACUUAAAAUUUAGUAGUUGCUACAGAUACAGACAUGAAUUGUGUACUGAACAGAAGUAAUCUAGACAUUAAUAGAUGAAGAUCUGUGGGUCUCAGAAAUGAAUUCUAACAUCUGUGACUAGAGUAUUGUGCCAGCAGUGCUUUUAGUUGAAAAUACCUGUUUUUCAAAUUUCUAGUCCAUUUAAGGUCUGGUAUACUUUGUGCCUUAAUAGGUAUACUUACACUUGCCUCAGCCACAGAUUUUGGUAAUUUUGUUCUGUAGUAAGUAAAUUUAGGACUGUAAAAUACUUAGGAAACAGGCACUGAGAACUGUUUAUGUUACUGUUGCAGUUCUUAAAAUGGCUUUACUCCUCCCCAUCACAAUUAAGAAACAAAACCACCAAAACAAAAGCAAAAACCAAACAAAAAAGCCUGUUGCAAUUCUACAGUUGGUAUUUUGAUAUUUGUUUAUCACCACAGCAUUAGCAUGUUUGUCAUGCUCUGAGUUUUACACUUGGAAUCCUGGGUUCUUGAUACAUCCUUAGAACAAUAACUCAUGCCUUUGUGUUACUAAAUAAUAAAGAUACCUGAAACAAUUUU